GAUUUCUGACGAAACUGCUAGCUGGCCCGCCAGCAAUGGUGAGUGCCGGCUUGGCGUUUGUCAUCCGUUCGAAUGAUAUGCGCGCUGCCCUUCACUGGGUUGGUGCUGCAUGUUUUCGAUCUUUUACUUUGAAAAAAUUAGAGUGUUUCAAGCAGGCAUGUUUGCUAUGAAUACAUUAGCAUGGAAUAAUAAUCUAGGACUUUCGGUUCUAUUUUGUUGGUGUUCUGGAGCUGAAGUAAUGAUUGAUAGGGAUAGUUGGGGGUGCUAGUAUUCAAUGGCCAGAGGUGAAAUUCUCGGAUUCCUUGAAGACUAACUUAUGCGAAAGCAUU
rnacentral:rRNA from 1 species